GAAUCGGUGUGGGACAUUCAAAAAAAGAUUAAACCACAUCCUCAAUAGAUCAAAGUAGGCUAAGGUAUACCUCAGUCUUCACCAUUUAUGGUAUUUAUCUUGUACAAAUCGAGGGGGAAAUCAACGAGGCUACAAUGUAAACUAAUAACGAAAUAUAGCAUACAACUCUCCAAACUGGUGACACCCUGUUGGUCAAAAGGACCAAACCUCAUAUCAUUCGUUCUUGACCGAAAAUCAGUUACCUAGACAAAUUUUUCAUGUUGCACUACAAAAUCAUCAUCACAGGAUUUGGGCAGCAGUGUUCAGUUUUUCUGCAAAGCUCAGUUGUGUCCUUGUGAGGCUUGCCAAAUAGAGCAAGAGCAAUUGAUCCUCGAGACCAUCAUUAACAAGCUUAUCGAAAUCUUGAGAUGAGAGCUUGGGAAGGGAAGCCACGGUAUCAGAUAUGAACCUUCCAAUUUUAUUGUCUUGUGG
rnacentral:misc_RNA from 1 species